rnacentral:rRNA from 1 species
GAUGAACGCUAGCGGCAGGCCUAACACAUGCAAGUCGAGGGGCAGCACAGAAACAGCAAUGUUUUGGUGGCGACCGGCGGACGGGUGCGUAACGCGUAUGCAACCUACCUUUAACAGGGGGAUAACGGAGAGAAAUUUCCACUAAUACCCCAUAACAUCGAUCAAGGCAUCUUGAUUGGUUGAAAACUCCGUUGGUUAAAGAUGGGCAUGCGUUGCAUUAGGUAGUUGGUGUGGUAAUGGCUCACCAAGCCUACGAUACAUAGGGGGACUGAGAGGUUAGCCCCCCCCACUGGUACUGAGACACGGACCAGACUCCUACGGGAGGCAGCAGUGAGGAAUAUCGGUCAAUGGGGGCAACCCUGAACCAGCCAUGCCGCGUGCAGGAAGACGGCUCUAUGAGUUGUAAACUGCUUUUAAACAGGGAUAAAGCACAGUAUGUAUACUGUGUUGAAGGUACUGUAAGAAUAAGGAUCGGCUAACUCCGUGCCAGCAGCCGCCGUAA